AACGAACGCUGGCGGCAUGCCUAACACAUGCAAGUCGAACGAAACCUUCGGGUCUAGUGGCGCACGGGUGCGUAACGCGUGGGAACCUGCCCUUAGGUUCGGAAUAACUCCCCGAAAGGGGUGCUAAUACCGGAUAAUGUCUUCGGACCAAAGAUUUAUCGCCUUUGGAUGGGCCCGCGUUGGAUUAGCUAGUUGGUAGGGUAAAAGCCUACCAAGGCGACGAUCCAUAGCUGGUCUGAGAGGAUGAUCAGCCACACUGGGACUGAGACACGGCCCAGACUCCUACGGGAGGCAGCAGUGGGGAAUAUUGGACAAUGGGCGAAAGCCUGAUCCAGCAAUGCCGCGUGAGUGAUGAAGGCCUUAGGGUUGUAAAGCUCUUUUAACCGGGAUGAUAAUGACAGUACCGGGAGAAUAAGCUCCGGCUAACUACGUG
rnacentral:rRNA from 1 species